rnacentral:rRNA from 1 species
CUAUACUGUGAAACUGCGAAUGGCUCAUUAAAUCAGUUAUCGUUUAUUUGAUAGUACCUUACUACUUGGAUAACCGUGGUAAUUCUAGAGCUAAUACAUGCUAAAAACCCCGACUUCGGGAGGGGUGUAUUUAUUAGACAAAAAACCAAUGCCCUCCGGGGCUCCUUGGUGAAUCAUGAUAACUUAACGAAUCGCAUGGCCUUGCGCCGGCGAUGGUUCAUUCAAAUUUCUGCCCUAUCAACUUUCGAUGGUAGGAUAGUGGCCUACCAUGGUAUCAACGGGUAACGGGGAAUUAGGGUUCUAUUCCGGAGAGGGAGCCUGAGAAACGGCUACCACAUCCAAGGAAGGCAGCAGGCGCGCAAAUUACCCAAUCCCGACACGGGGAGGUAGUGACAAUAAAUACUGAUACAGGGCUCUUUUGGGUCUUGUAAUUGGAAUGAGUACAAUUUAAAUACCUUAACGAGGAACAAUUGGAGGGCAAGUCUGGUGCCAGCAGCCGCGGUAAUUCCAGCUCCAAUAGCGUAUAUUAAAGUUGUUGCAGUUAAAAAGCUCGUAGUUGAACCUUGGGCCUGGCUGGCCGGUCCGCCUCACCGCGUGCACUGGUCCGGCCGGGCCUUUCCUUCUGGGGAUCCCCAUGCCCUUCACUGGGUGUGGCGGGGAACCAGGACUUUUACUUUGAAAAAAUUAGAGUGUUCAAAGCAGGCCUUUGCUCGAAUACAUUAGCAUGGAAUAAUAGAAUAGGACGUGCGGUCCUAUUUUGUUGGUUUCUAGGACCGCCGUAAUGAUUAAUAGGGAUAGUCGGGGGCAUCAGUAUUCAAUUGUCAGAGGUGAAAUUCUUGGAUUUAUUGAAGACUAACUACUGCGAAAGCAUUUGCCAAGGAUGUUUUCAUUAAUCAGUGAACGAAAGUUAGGGGAUCGAAGACGAUCAGAUACCGUCGUANNCUUAACCGUAAACUAUGCCGACUAGGGAUCGGGCGAUGUUAUUAUUUUGACUCGCUCGGCACCUUACGAGAAAUCAAAGUCU